GUCAUGUUUUCCUGUGGCAGUUACUCUUUGAUGAUAUGCUUUACAUUACCUUUGUUUUAGGGUCUGAUUCAGGUCUGUGGUGUAUAUUGAGUCAGAAGCUAAACACACUGCAGAAACACCUGAGGGUGGUCUAUGAGGAAUACAUCCCAGGAAUCAUGGAGAUCAUGCUGACAGAGCUUGAUAAUUGAAGAUGAUGCAGGACGAGCGGUUCAGGAAUCAGUUCUCAUGAUGACGAUGUGCAACUGCAUCUCACCAUUAUUCUCUACAGAGUUGGUAACAUUUCCCAUAUUUAACAGAAUAGUAAUUUUGAUUUGCACUUUCUGUUAACAACAGUAGAGGCAACAGAAGAUUCACACUGAUGGAUGAAGCCCAUCAGUGUGAAUCUUCUCUUCUGCUACAACCUCACCUGCUGUCUUCAAUCCUCCAUACCCGACAGUAACAGCUGACUGUUGUGUUGAGCUUCUUUGUGAGAUAUGUUAAAUGUAAAGUUCAUAAAUCCACUACACUUUGUGUCAGUGUAUGUUUUUCUGUUCUCAUUCCUGGAGCUGCCAAAAAGCAGAGGUGGCAAAAGUGCAGACAUUCUGUAUUUAAGUAGAAGUACAGAUACUCGUGUUACUCAACUAAGAGUAAAAAAGUUCAGGCUCUGAAAUAAAGCUUCUGUGUAAGUUCAAUAAGGAAGAUCUAUGGUCUCACAUCUGUCCGCUCCCAGGUGCUGCCGGCUGAAUCUAAGCUUUAUCACUUCCACUGUCAAGCUGUUUGUGUCAUCACUGGUCUGGUCCAAUCACAUUCUCCCGGCCUUCUCCAGGCCAAUCAUCAUUCAUGCUGUGUACUUUAAACCUCACUGUGCAUCUGUCAUUCUCCCUCAUAGACGCCUUUGUGCAAAGCACCUCCUGCCCAUUUCCACCUCUCAUCACUCAAGCUUCAUUCAAGUCACCUUCAUCUCCAUCACCAGCAUCUAGGCUCUGGGGGGUCCUGCUCUAAUCCGUUUCACAGCUGGAUCUCUGCAGAGAGACAGACCACCAAACACCUUUGUAUAUUCUGUUCAUCAAUAAAUCAUGUUCAUUCUU